rnacentral:rRNA from 1 species
AGAGUUUGAUCCUGGCUCAGGAUGAACACUAGCGGCAGGCCUAACACAUGCAAGUCGAGCGGUAGGGACCUUCGGGUCCUGAGAGCGGCGCACGGGUGCGUAACGCGUAUGCAACCUGCCCUGUACAGGGGAAUAGCCCGUCGAAAGGCGGAUUAAUGCCCCAUAGCCCUUGGGGGUGGCAUCGCCACCAAGGUAAAGAUUUAUCGGUACAGGAUGGGCAUGCGUGCCAUUAGCUGGACGGUGGGGUAACGGCCCACCGUGGCGACGAUGGCUAGGGGUUCUGAGAGGAAGGCCCCCCACACUGGGACUGAGACACGGCCCAGACUCCUACGGGAGGCAGCAGUGAGGAAUAUUGGUCAAUGGGCGGAAGCCUGAACCAGCCAUGCCGCGUGCGGGAAGAAGGCGCUACGCGUCGUAAACCGCUUUUGUCCGGGGGUAACCGCGGGGACGUGUCCCCGCCUGCAAGUACCGGACGAAUAAGGGUCGGCUAACUCCGUGCCAGCAGCCGCGGUAAUACGGAGGACCCGAGCGUUAUCCGGAUUCAUUGGGUUUAAAGGGUGCGUAGGCGGCCCGGUAAGUCAGCGGUGAGAGGCCCGCGCUCCACGCGGGAGCUGCCGUUGAUACUGUCGGGCUAGAAUCUUAGCGAGGCGGGCGGAAUGCGCGGUGUAGCGGUGAAAUGCAUAGAUAUCGCGCAGAACGCCGAUGGGGAGCCAGCUCGCCAGCUGAGUAUUGACGCU